rnacentral:tRNA from 1 species
AUUGGGUGGCUGAAGAAGGCGGAAAAUUGUAAAUUUUUUUAUGGGGGUUUACUUCCUCAAUCAG